rnacentral:rRNA from 1 species
CUCGUAGGUGGUUUGUCGCGUUGUUCGUGAAAACCUGAGGCUUAACCUUGGGCGUGCGGGCGAUACGGGCAGACUGGAGUACUGCAGGGGAGACUGGAAUUCCUGGCGUAGCGGUGGAAUGCGCAGAUAUCAGGAGGAACACCGGUGGCGAAGGCGGGUCUCUGGGCAGUAACUGACGCUGAGGAGCGAAAGCGUGGGGAGCGAACA